GGGCUACACCUGUUCCCAUACCGAACACAGAAGUUAAGCCUCUUAGCGCCGAUGGUACUUGGCGGGCAGCUGCCUGGGAGAGUAGGUCGUUGCUUGUU
rnacentral:rRNA from 1 species